UACAUAGGUCCCAAGCGUUGUUCGGAUUCACUGGGCGUAAAGCGUGUGUAGGCGGCUAGGUAAGUCGGAUGUGAAAGCCCCGGGCUCAACUCGGGAAGUGCACUCGAUACUGCUUAGCUCGAGUACCGGAGAGGUUGGUGGAAUUCUCGGUGUAGAGGUGAAAUUCGUAGAUAUCGAGAGGAACACCGGUGGCGAAGGCGGCCAACUGGACGAGUACUGACGCUGAGACACGAAAGCGUGGGGAGCAAACAGG
rnacentral:rRNA from 1 species